GAGUUUGGUCAUAGCUCCAGUUGAACGCUGGCGGGAUGCUACACAUGCAAGUCGAACGGCAGCGGACUUCAGUCCUGGUGGCGAGUGGCGAACCGGGUGAGUAAUGUAUCGGAACGUGCCUAGUAGCGGGGGAUAACUACAUAAGCGUAGCUAAUACCGCAUACCGCGGGGAAAGCGAAGGGGGACCUUCAGGCUGCGCACUAUUAGAGGAAACGGCCGAUAUGGAUAGCUAGUUGGUGGAGUAACAGCUCUGCCGGGCUUGUGACGAUCCGUAGCUGGUUUGAGAGACGACCAGCCACACUGGGACGGGAACUGACUGAACUCCUACGGGAGGCAGCAGUGGGGAAUUUUGGACAAUGGGGAAACCCUGAUCCCAUGCAUCCCGCGUACGUGAAAAUGCUGGGUUUGCAAACACUUACAGCGGAAAAAAGAAACGGCACAGGAUAAUACCGUGCAACUGACGGUACCUGCAGAUAAAGCACCGGCUAACUACGUUAGCAGCCAAAAUAUUACGUAAAGUGCAAGCGUUAAAUGGAAUUACUGGGGCGCUAAAGAAAGCGUGCGCAGGCGGUUCGGAAAGAAAGAUGUGAAAUCCCAGAGCUUAACUUUGAUUUGUUUUAACUACCACAAGGCUAGAGUGUGUCAGAGGUGGAAUUCCGCGUGUAGCAGUGAAAUGCGUAAGAUAUUGCGGAGGGCACCGAUGGCGAAGGCAGCCUCCUGGAAUCUUUGCUGGCGGCGCUCCACAUGCACAGCGUGGGGAGCAAACAGAGGAUUAAGAUACCCUGGUAGUCCACGCCCUAAACGAUGUCAACUAGCUGUUGGGGCCUUCGGGCCUUGGUAGCGCAACUAACGCGUGAAGUUGACCGCCUGGGGAGUACGGUCGCAAGAUUAGAAACUCAAAGGAAUUGACGGGGACCCGCACAAGCGGUGGAUGGAUUAAGACUAGAAUUACCUUGCGAAAAACCUUUCCCCCUUGACGUGUCUGAAUCCCGAAGAGAUUUGGGAGUGCUCGCAAGAGAACCGGAACACAGGUGCUGCAUGGCUGUCGUCAGCUCGUGUCGUGAGAUGUUGGGUUAAGUCCCGCGAGCGCAACCCUGAUAGGUAGUUGCUACGAAAGGGCACUCCCUAAUGAGACUGCCGGUGACAAACCGGGAGGAAGGUGGGGAUUGGCAUCAAGUCCUCAUGGCCCUUAUGGGUGGGGCUCCACACGUCAUACAAUGGUCGGGACAGAGGGUCGCCAACCCGCGAGGAGGGCAAUCCCGAGGCGAUCGUAGUCGGAUCGCAGUCUGCAACUCGACUGCGUGAAGUCGGGGGAAUCGCUAGUAAUCGCGGAUCAGCAUGUCGCGGUGACGAUUCCCGGGUCUUACAGCACCGCCCAUCACACCAUGGGAGUGGGUUUUACCAGAAGUAGUUAGCCUAACCGUAAGGAGGGCGAUUACCACGGUAGGAUUCAUGACUGGGGUGAAGUCGUAACAAGGUAA
rnacentral:rRNA from 1 species